rnacentral:rRNA from 1 species
GACGAACGCUGGCGGCGUGCUUAACACAUGCAAGUCGAACGGAAAGGCCCUGCUUUUGUGGGGUGCUCGAGUGGCGAACGGGUGAGUAACACGUGAGUAACCUGCCCUUGACUUUGGGAUAACUUCAGGAAACUGGGGCUAAUACCGGAUAGGAGCUCCUGCUGCAUGGUGGGGGUUGGAAAGUUUCGGCGGUUGGGGAUGGACUCGCGGCUUAUCAGCUUGUUGGUGGGGUAGUGGCUUACCAAGGCUUUGACGGGUAGCCGGCCUGAGAGGGUGACCGGCCACAUUGGGACUGAGAUACGGCCCAGACUCCUACGGGAGGCAGCAGUGGGGAAUAUUGCACAAUGGGCGGAAGCCUGAUGCAGCAACGCCGCGUGCGGGAUAGCGGCCUUCGGGUUGUAAACCGCUUUCGCCUGUGACGAAGCGUGAGUGACGGUAAUGGGUAGAGAAGCACCGGCUAACUACGUG